ensembl:lncRNA
AACACAUCCGCAGGUAACUAACACACUCUCAAACACAUCCGCAGGUAACUAACACACUCUCAAACACAUCCGCAGGUAACUAACACACUCUCAAACACAUCCGCAGGUAACCGAAACACCUUCAAACACAUCCGCAGGUAACCGAAACACCUUCAAACACAUCCGCAGGUAACUAACACACUCUCAAACACAUCCGCAGGUAACCGAAACACCUUCAAACACAUCCGCAAGUAACUAACACACUCUCGGACAUCCGAAGGUAACCAACACACUCUCGGACAUCCGAAGGUAACCGACAUGAACUCAAAUUCGUCUGCAGGUCACCGAGGGAAACGCCCCGUUAUUUGCAACAGUGUCGAGUUUUC